UACGUAGGAGGCAAGCGUUGUCCGGAAUCACUGGGCGUAAAGGGCGCGUAGGCGGCUCGUGAAGUCGGGUGUGAAAGCCCGGGGCUCAACCCCGGAACGGCAUCCGAUACUGGCGGGCUUGAGACCGGAAGAGGUAAGUGGAACUGCGAGUGUAGAGGUGAAAUUCGUAGAUAUUCGCAAGAACACCAGUGGCGAAGGCGGCUUACUGGUCCGGUUCUGACGCUGAGGCGCGAAAGCGUGGGGAGCAAACAGG
rnacentral:rRNA from 1 species